UAUAAAUAAGAUAAUUAAGGGAUUAUCUUUGGAAGUGUUAGAGCUGUUGUUGAAGUCUACAACUCCACUUAAAUCUGCAAAGAUGUGCUCUAUAUAAUAUAUCUGAUAUAGAGAAAAUGUCAUGUGAGUGUGGGAGUUUACUCGAGAAAUCUUUGCGGAAAAUAUUUCUUUGUUCUUCCUUCCUAGGUCACCAUUGUUGAACCUAGGGAUUUGGAGUGUGGGUACAAUAUUGAGAAACUCAAGUAGUUUCUCAAUUAGCAACACGAGGUUCGUAAUUCAAGUAAUCUGAUCCAAAUCCUUUUUCUCUUGAGGUAAUUUGUGUACCUGUUAUUUUCCUUCAUUGGUAUCAGAGCUUAACUUGCUUGUUUUCGCUUCAUGAUUUGCAUGCCAUAGAUUAGAUUUAUUCAUGUUAAAGUGAAUAUUUUCUACUUUAAUAUUGUUGUAUAUCAUGGCAUGUUGAAAAAGAUUUAAGAAACCCUAUAUUUUUGAAAACUCUAUAAGAGCAGUUUUUUGAUCUUAAAAAACAGUAAAAAAAAUUUCGUUUUCUAUAAACGAAAUUUAUAUUUUAUGGAAGUAUUCUUCGUAAGUUUUCAAUCCAUACAAAAUGGGUUUUAAUCGGAGUUAAAUUGAAAAAAUUAUUGCUUUUCAAAAAAAUUUUGGGUUAAAAUCGCUGUUUUUGAUAAAUUUUGUGAAAAUGGGAGAUUCUGGAAGCUGACACAGCGUGGUGCGGUGCAACUCAACGUGGCUCGGCUUGGUUCCACAUGUGGUGCGAAUGGCGGCAGCGCAUUGUGUGCAGUUGAUGUUAAUAGCAUGCAAGGCGUGCAGGUGGUGCACGUGACACAUGGUGCGCGUGGCGCAUGGAGCUCAUGCGCCUGCCACACGUAGAACAGGAGCCACAUGUGUAGGCGUGUGAACACAUAUUUCGAGGUGCAUGUUAUGCAAACGCGACACGUGACAUGUUAUGCACACGCGACACGUGACAGUUCCUCACUGUCUGUUUUAUUUUUCUAUAUAUUUGAUUUGACCUACUGUUUUCAGAAUUAUUUUACUUUUAAAUUAUCUUUAUACAUAUUUAAUUUUGAAAAUUGCAAAAAAAAUUAAAAAAAAAAUUUGAAAAAUUAUUUUUCUGUUUUAUUAAAUUGUUUUUUUGAAUGAUUUUGUUUUAUUAAUUAUCAUGCAUAAUUAAUUAACUCUAUUUACUUUUUAGUUCCUUUAGCAAUUAAUUUGCGCUAUUUGAUUGUGGAGUUAAUUUAUUAAUUGUUUAAUAUAUAUUAGUUGAGAACUAAUAUGUAUUUUUUUUUGAAGUCUUAGAUCUUUGUGACUAUACUCUUUUCCUUAGAAGGAAUUGUGGUUUGAUCUCCACCCUAUGGUCAUUUAUUUAUUCCUUCAUUUAAUUGAUGUUGUUUGUGUAGAUGGAUGGAGGUAAUGUUGGUAAUUUUGGUGCAGAUGUUUAUUUAUUUAUUAUGCAUUGUUAAAGGUAGACUCUACAAAUGUAUUGGUGAAGUGGCAUCCUCAAGUUAUUUCUUUUUAGAGAAGUGAUUGAGACCCUCUCCAAUUACCACCCCCCACACACACGUGGCGGGUGGUGAUUGAAAAAAAAAAAAAUAAAAAAAAAUUGACCAAUCAGAGAGAGAGGGGGUCAAAGGGGUUGCCUCCUUGAAGGGGUCCAACUCAUUUUCCUUCUUUUUAUUAGAAUCAAUGUAUUUGGAUUCUUUUGGGUUGUUAUUAUUUUUGGAUGUAUUUUUCCAUAAUCAUGUAAGGGGAUGUGUUUCACUAUCACCAAUACAUUUUAAGAUUACCUUAACAUGUUGAACCAUAUUACCAACAAGGCUUCAAGUGGAGCCUAUGCGCAAAAUUGUGUGGCGUAUUUUUGGUCUCAUAUAUAGUGUGCAUGAUUUAAUACUGUGGAAUUAAGAGAUUUUUGUGCCUCUUAAACAAUUUUAUUUCAAAAAUUAAUUGGGUAUCAUAUUUUAGCUCACAAAAGAAGAUGAUUAUUAGCUUAGUGAAAUUUUCGAUUUCUCUAUGUAAGUGAAAAUAUUGUAUGCCAAUUGUGUUUUUGGAAUAAAAUUUCAAAGUGUGCCAAUUGUCAAACGCUAUGCAAUAAGUGUGGUGAAAUGACCUCUAAGAAUGUCGUUGCUGACCUCAUCAAAGGAGAAAAAUUGGACGUGUCCAAUUAUGACUUGUGGUACAGAAAAAUUCAAUAUUUACUUAAUGAACAAGGAGUCUUAAAUAUUUUGACCACCCUUAUGAUCUGUCUUGAGGAAGGGACCACUACCCAACAUUGCUAUGACCUGGAAACCUAUGAGAAAUAGGUCAAGAGAGAUUGGUGUGCGCUAUACUAUGCAUAGUAGCAUGCACAAUGAUUUCAUUGGAGAGUUUGAGACAAGCCUCACUGCUCAUGACAUGUGAAAUCAAUUGAAAAUUACCUAUGGGAUCACAUCUGUAACUAGGUUGCAUGCUCUUAUUUUGAAAUUUGAGCAAUAUGCUAUGGAUCCAAAACACUCAAUGGUUGAGCAUCUUAGAGUUAUGUCAGCCAUGAUACGUGAUUUGAGGGCUACUAGUAAUGUUCUUACUGAUGAGCCGCAAAUUACAGCUGUGACACGUUCUCUGCCUGAUUCAUGUGAGCAAAUGAAACUUGUGCUUACACAUAUGAGAACAUCAAGACUUUUGCUGAUAUCUCGCGCCACCUUGAGCUUGAAGUGGAGUACCUAAGGACGCACCGCUACACUAUCCUUGUCGCCCAAGCUGGGUUGCAUCAGGCAUUUAGGCCUAAGCGCAACAAACAAGGAAAACGUAGUGGUGCAGCUUGUAACCUUGGUCCUAAGAAAGGCAAUGUGAUGAAGCGUCGCGGAGGCAAGCGAGGUGGAAACAAAGACAAGAUCAAAGUCAAGUGCUAUAAUUGUGAAAAGUUAGGUCACUUUGCUCGGAAAUGCCCUGAGGCAAAGAAGACUCAGGAACAACCCACCACAUAGCCAAUGAAAGAGUUGGGUUCGUGGAUUAUAGAAAGAUACCUAUGGGCUAGUACCUUGGGUAAUGGAACUCGAGAAGAUAUUCUUGGAGUUGGUUCUUAUCAGCUCAAGACACGUCCGGGGCACGCUUUACUCCUGCAUGACAUGCUUUAUGCACUUGGUGUCCAAUGUAAUUUUUUAUCAGUUAUUUUUUUUGUUAGGAUUUGGUUUUUGUUUUCAUUUUGAUGGUAGUCAGUUGGAUUUCUAUUUAAAUAAAGUCUUGUAUAGACAAGGUUUUCUUUCCAAUGGUUUCUUUAUGCUAGAUUUGGAUUUUCCCUCA